CAUUUAUUAUUAAUUAAUUACAUUUCAGAGACUGAUUGCCGAAUUAAAUAAAGAGCAAGAGGCUUUCAUCGCGAGUAAGCAAAAUGGAAAAGGUGAAGCAGUUGCACCAUGGGUUGGAGCACCAAACGAGGACGUAUUACGCGAAGAAUGUCUGUCUCUUUCUACGGAACGUCGUAAUUUCACGAGAGCACCACCACCCGACGUUGAAUUCGCUUGGGAUUUCGAAGCAAUUCAGCCUGUAGCAAGAGCCACCCUUGCCCUGGAUCCUAAUCUCGAAAA
rnacentral:lncRNA from 1 species